AUUUAAGUUUUUCAUUCUGUAUUCAGCUUUGGUUGUGCCUAGACCCAAAGUAAAUCAGUAAAUCAUUAAAUUUUUCUCAUUAUUCCUAAAAAGUGUCAAAACAAAAACUAAAUUAUUUUUUUUUUUAACGGGAGAAGAGAAUUUCUGCUCUGAUUUUUCCUUUCCGUUUUAGUAAUAAGGGUACCUAGCAAAUCGAAUUUCUAGAACAUCUUGAUUUUUCCUUUUUCUUCUUUUUCUUUCAAGAACGAAAAAAUUUUUCCUAACGGGCAAAUAUUAAAUCUGUAAAUUGGUAUCACCAGAGCUUGUCCUUAAAUUUGCGUCAAUGCGAGGUAGCUAUGGGAAAAUUAGUUAGUCCAAUGCCCAAAAUCUGUCAAAUGGUGAAGUCUAUUAUUGACAGGAUAACUGGAUCCAACGGAUACGACUCCCAAUUUUUACCACGAUGACCAGGAUUAAUCGACAAUGCUUCAUUUCUAGCCGAGCUUUAAUAUUUUUCCUUAGUAUCCUUACAAUCUAUUGAGAAAAACUUUUUUCAACUCGUAACGACUGUGCUGCAAUCCAAAACAUUGGGCACUACAUAGAAUGGGAACUCGGCCGAUUCAUCUACAUCUGCAAAAGCAAAACAUAUUCAACAGAAGUCAAUUGCUCUGAAGUGUCGCGGUUUUUGCGAUAAAAAUAUUCCAAGAUCUAUAUAUAACGUCGUUAUAAUAGCUUCGAUCUUCGUUAUUGUUGUCAUUGGCAGCUUUCGAGAUGAUUGUUUCCAGAAGUUAUUUCGUUGCAAAACGCAUCUUCUUUACAACUGCAAAAGUGAAUCUGCUUACAGGUAUCACCAGUUCUUAUCCGUUCACAAACGUUUGAUAUGGCCUGAUAGAUGGGCAUAAUAUCCAUAUGGUUUUUCCUUAAUAUUCAUAAAUUCUAUCAAAAAAGACUAUUUAAUGACUUGAAUCAAAUGUCUGGAUCCAUCGGAAUCGUUUCCGUCUCUUUUAAAUUGUUCCAGAACGCGUAGGCUUCAUCGAUAAGAAUUCUUUGCAAUACGAGCUUAAAUAUGCCUAAUUUUUCCGUAAUAUCCUUACAUAUUCUUUCUUUUUAACUGCAAAAGUGAUUGAAACUGCCCAACUUAAUCCUUAAUCAUAACCAAAACAAUUAUCCUUGUUCUCAUCAUUGUCGUCAUCUUCGUCACCAUCAGUGAUUUUGGUUAAAUGACAUAGUGCUUUAUUGGGAGUGCCCAAAUCUUAAUUUCCUUAUCUUAAACUGAAAGACAUGACCAAAAAUCAAAAGUUUUCUGAUGUGAUGUCGUUGAAGCUGUGCGAGGAAUCCGGCAUCGGCACAUAGAUGAUAUUAUAACAAAAGUUUCCAA